rnacentral:rRNA from 1 species
UACGUAGGGGGCAGGCGUUGUCCGGAUUCAUUGGGCGUAAAGAGCGUGUAGGCGGCCAGGUAGGUCGGUUGUGAAAACUGGAGGCUCAACCUUCAGAGGUCGACCGAAACCAUCUGGCUAGAGUCCGGGAGAGGAGAGUGGAAUUCCUGGUGUAGCGGUGAAAUGCGCAGAUAUCAGGAAGAACACCCGUGGCGAAGGCGGCUCUCUGGAACGCAACUGACGCUGAGACGCGAAAGCGUGGGGAGCAAACAGG